UACGGAGGGUGCAAGCGUUGUUCGGAAUUACUGGGCGUAAAGAGCACGUAGUCGGGUUCGUAAGCCAAUUGUGAAAGCCCGGGGCUCAACCUCGGAAUUGCAGUUGGAACUGCGAAUCUUGAAUGCCUGAGAGGGUGAGGGAAUUCCUGGUGUAGAAGUGAAAUUCGUAGAUAUCAGGAGGAACACCAGAGGCGAAGGCGCUUACCUGGCAGUGCAUUGACGCUGAGGUGCGAAAGCGUGGGGAGCAAACAGG
rnacentral:misc_RNA from 1 species